rnacentral:rRNA from 1 species
AUGUUUGACCGCAUGCUAGCAAGAUGGGCAGCAUAUCUGGAGAGGUUUAACUAUCUCAUCGUGCAUAAAUCUGGAAUAACUAACAGAGUGACCGAUGCUUUGAGUCGUCAUGCAUGCCUCUUGACUUCUUUUGAAGCUGAACUUCCGGGCAUGGAUCAAAUAAAGGAGUUGUAUGAGGGUGACGAAGACUUUGGCCAUGUUUGGGUAAAUCACGCAAGGGGCCAACCAUUAGGUGAUGACUAUUUGAUGCAAGAUGGAUAUCUCUUCAAAAAUGGUCGUUUGUGCAUUCCAAGAAGUUCUCUACGUGACAAGCUGGUUAGAGAGCUCCAUUCAAGUGAUCUUAGUGGCCAUGUUGGACGGGACAAGACUAUCGCUAACCUGGAAGCUCGCUACUUUUGGCCACAACUAAAGAGAGAUGCUGGAAAGUUCGUUCAACGGUGCCCCAUAUGUCAGACCUGCAAAGGCCAAGUCCAGAACACAGGGUUAUACAUGGCUUUGCCUGUUCCUGUUGCUCCAUGGGAGGACAUUUCUAUGGACUUCGUCUUGGGCUUGCCAAGAACAAGACGAGGAAGUGAUGCUGUAUUUGUGGUCGUGGAUAGAUUCUCUAAGAUGGCUCAUUUCAUUCCAUGCCGCAAGACAACGGAUGCUCAUCAUGUGGCAAACCUAUUCCUUCGAGAAGUGGUCAGACUUCAUGGAGUUCCAAGGUCCAUCGUCUCAGAUCGUGAUAGCAAGUUUCUUGCUGCAUUUUGGCUCACUUUGUGGAAGCAAUUCAACACUGAAUUGAAAUUUUCUAGCACUGCUCAUCCACAAACAGAUGGACAAACGGAAGUGGUGAGCAAGUUUUUGGGUAAUCUGAUCCGUUGCAUUUGUGGAGAAAGAAAGGGGCAAUGGGAUUUGGCUUUAUCUCUUGCAGAGUUCUCCUACAAUAACUCCCAAGCAUAG